UUAAGCGACUAAGCGUACACGGUGGAUGCCCUGGCAGUCAGAGGCGAUGAAGGACGUGCUAAUCUGCGAUAAGCGUCGGUAAGGUGAUAUGAACCGUUAUAACCGGCGAUUUCCGAAUGGGGAAACCCAGUGUGAUUCGUCACACUAUCAUUAACUGAAUCCAUAGGUUAAUGAGGCGAACCGGGGGAACUGAAACAUCUAAGUACCCCGAGGAAAAGAAAUCAACCGAGAUUCCCCCAGUAGCGGCGAGCGAACGGGGAGCAGCCCAGAGCCUGAAUCAGUGUGUGUGUUAGUGGAAGCGUCUGGAAAGGCGCGCGAUACAGGGUGACAGCCCCGUACACAAAAAUGCACAUACUGUGAGCUCGAUGAGUAGGGCGGGACACGUGGUAUCCUGUCUGAAUAUGGGGGGACCAUCCUCCAAGGCUAAAUACUCCUGACUGACCGAUAGUGAACCAGUACCGUGAGGGAAAGGCGAAAAGAACCCCGGCGAGGGGAGUGAAAAAGAACCUGAAACCGUGUACGUACAAGCAGUGGGAGCCUCUUAAUGGGGUGACUGCGUACCUUUUGUAUAAUGGGUCAGCGACUUAUAUUCUGUAGCAAGGUUAACCGAAUAGGGGAGCCGAAGGGAAACCGAGUCUUAACUGGGCGUUAAGUUGCAGGGUAUAGACCCGAAACCCGGUGAUCUAGCCAUGGGCAGGUUGAAGGUUGGGUAACACUAACUGGAGGACCGAACCGACUAAUGUUGAAAAAUUAGCGGAUGACUUGUGGCUGGGGGUGAAAGGCCAAUCAAACCGGGAGAUAGCUGGUUCUCCCCGAAAGCUAUUUAGGUAGCGCCUCGUGAAUUCAUCUCCGGGGGUAGAGCACUGUUUCGGCAAGGGGGUCAUCCCGACUUACCAACCCGAUGCAAACUGCGAAUACCGGAGAAUGUUAUCACGGGAGACACACGGCGGGUGCUAACGUCCGUCGUGAAGAGGGAAACAACCCAGACCGCCAGCUAAGGUCCCAAAGUCAUGGUUAAGUGGGAAACGAUGUGGGAAGGCCCAGACAGCCAGGAUGUUGGCUUAGAAGCAGCCAUCAUUUAAAGAAAGCGUAAUAGCUCACUGGUCGAGUCGGCCUGCGCGGAAGAUGUAACGGGGCUAAACCAUGCACCGAAGCUGCGGCAGCGACGCUUAUGCGUUGUUGGGUAGGGGAGCGUUCUGUAAGCCUGCGAAGGUGUGCUGUGAGGCAUGCUGGAGGUAUCAGAAGUGCGAAUGCUGACAUAAGUAACGAUAAAGCGGGUGAAAAGCCCGCUCGCCGGAAGACCAAGGGUUCCUGUCCAACGUUAAUCGGGGCAGGGUGAGUCGACCCCUAAGGCGAGGCCGAAAGGCGUAGUCGAUGGGAAACAGGUUAAUAUUCCUGUACUUGGUGUUACUGCGAAGGGGGGACGGAGAAGGCUAUGUUGGCCGGGCGACGGUUGUCCCGGUUUAAGCGUGUAGGCUGGUUUUCCAGGCAAAUCCGGAAAAUCAAGGCUGAGGCGUGAUGACGAGGCACUACGGUGCUGAAGCAACAAAUGCCCUGCUUCCAGGAAAAGCCUCUAAGCAUCAGGUAACAUCAAAUCGUACCCCAAACCGACACAGGUGGUCAGGUAGAGAAUACCAAGGCGCUUGAGAGAACUCGGGUGAAGGAACUAGGCAAAAUGGUGCCGUAACUUCGGGAGAAGGCACGCUGAUAUGUAGGUGAAGUCCCUUGCGGAUGGAGCUGAAAUCAGUCGAAGAUACCAGCUGGCUGCAACUGUUUAUUAAAAACACAGCACUGUGCAAACACGAAAGUGGACGUAUACGGUGUGACGCCUGCCCGGUGCCGGAAGGUUAAUUGAUGGGGUUAGCGGUAACGCGAAGCUCUUGAUCGAAGCCCCGGUAAACGGCGGCCGUAACUAUAACGGUCCUAAGGUAGCGAAAUUCCUUGUCGGGUAAGUUCCGACCUG
rnacentral:rRNA from 2 species